AUUUAUUUAAGCACAACACGUUGGGGCCGUAUACAUUGCGUCCUUGCAACGAACACGAAAACUCGACGCGUGCCCGUUUGCAAUUAUACACAUAUACGUAUAUAUUCGUGUCUUUCCGUAUUACGAAGAUAAUUCGUCAAAUUAGAGAAAGGCAUUCCAUUCGCAUGUUCUGCUGCAUGUGCACGUUAUCAUAGAUUAAUUAUAUUAUUGAUUAUAUAUAGUUGAUGGAUAUCAUCGUAAAAAUAAUUUUUUAUUUUAUCAGGUGGCACGUUUCGUUUAUAGGUUAGAAAUUUUUACCAUUGGGUACAAUUUGAAGAAUAUUGAACUUAAUCUUUUCAAUUUUUCUUUUAAAUUUAAGUAAUUGGAUUUUAAACGAUGUUUUUGUUACGUAUAAAUUCAUAUGGAACAGAUGAAAUAUUUUUGAUAUUACACUCAGAUUAUAAUUUUAUUCAUUGUAGAUGAUUUAAUGUAAAAUAUUGAUUAUCAGAAUUUUAAUUUUUUGUUUUGUAUAAAAAGCAAAGAUAAACAUUUUUCAUUUUUCGUUCA